UAUAAUUUUUCGUAAUUCUAACCAAAACUUGAAAUGAAAAUGCUACAAUACCCUUUUUAACUAAAAUAAUUACAAAACUAUAUCUUCUCCAUCCAUUCUUUGUGUAGUCUUUUCGGCUCUGUCCCAUAAAACAGUUGGUAUUGCUCCCGUAUUAAUUUUGUUUUUUCAAAAUAACUACACCGAACCUAAAACACCACAACAUCAAUCCCCAUUGCUAGCGAUCAAAACCCUAACCAAUUUCCCACAGAGAUCUGCUCCAAAUUCUGCAUAUUUUCUCAAGAAAGUCUGUACACUUUAUGUUUGGUGGAUGACUAUUGAAGGUUUAAUUCUAGAGCUUUAUGAAAUCUUGUUAAAUAUAUCGUCCUUCAAUUUUAUCUUCAGACAUAUUUUUUAAAUUCUAUUUUUUACAAUGAUAUUGAUUCAAAUUGUGAACAUUUUUUACAUUUGAGGUCAAGCAAUGGGCGAUCCCGAUUACCCGGCAGAUGAGGCAGUGGUUCCCAGAAAUUAACAACUGACGAUGCUCUUUUGUCUCUCAAAAAGGUGAAGGACACGUUUCGUGACAAUAAUGGAAAACAUGAUAUAUUUUGGGAUUUAAUCACUUCGUACUAAAUUUUGGGAUAUAAACACUUCUGUGUUGGAGGAUUAUCGAAUAACCUCGGAUGAUGAAGACGUGACUCCUCUGAAACAGACGAUUGAUGAAGACGAGGAAGUUGCUGGUACUGUAAACUUGACAAACAUGAACAUAUUUUGUAAUUAUUUUAAUUAAAAAGGGUAUUGAAGUAUUUUCAUGUUAAAUUUUGGUUAGAAUUAUAAAAUAUUAUAACAGUUGGCUAAACUUCUAUUCAUGGUCCGAAUUUUAGCUAUUUUUCCAAAUUUCCCAAUUUAUUUAUCAUUUUUUCUGGAACCAUCCCACUCUCUCUCCUUUUCUCCCUCGAUUCCUUUGUCCGUCCGUCCGUCCAUUAUUUUCAGGAACCAUCAUCCCCUCCCAUCAACGAAUUCUCUCUUCCCCCUCCCCCCUUGACUUCACGAUCGCUGACAACAGGUCCUAGUACACCAGAUCGUGAAGCAAAUUCUAGUACACCGUAGCUCUCGGCCAUCCAAUUCCAUCACUUUGUCUCUCUUUGUCCAUUCCUCUCUUUCCGUCCAUUCCUCCAUUUCACCUCUCUCCGUCUCCUACACUUUCGCCUACAAUUUUUUUGUCAUGUGACAUCAGCAUGACGUCAUAUCGCCUCAA
rnacentral:lncRNA from 1 species